rnacentral:lncRNA from 1 species
UCAUAUUCUUGCUUAGUUGGUGGCAUCUCAAUCUCGUCAAUCUAACCAUAUUGGUUCUGUUUCUUAUUCAUAUGAGGUCACAUGGGCUGUCUAGUUUAUGAUGCUGAAUCCCCCAACUUUUAUAUGAUCUAAGGUUAAGAAGGAUCCACAUGGGUUCAAUGAUGAGAUGGAGAAAAUCUGUAGGGUGAUGCAUUCUAUUA